rnacentral:rRNA from 1 species
UGCGAAGGGUGCUAGCGUUGUUCGGGAUCACUGGGCGUAAAGCGUGCGUAGGCGGCUUGGCAAGUCUGAUGUGAAAGCCCAGGGCUCAACCCUGGAACUGCAUUGGAAACUGCCUUGCUGGAGGUCGGAAGGGGUAAGUGGAAUUCCUAGUGUAGAGGUGAAAUUCGUAGAUAUUAGGAGGAACACCAGUGGCGAAGGCGACUUACUGGUCCGAUACUGACGCUGAGGCACGAAAGCGUGGGGAGCAAACAGG